UGAUUGGUUCCCACUUUUGGAGAAUGACCAUCCACUGGUCAAAGUGAUAGGGUUCCAACGGUUCGAGAGAAAAGGAAAGAGAGACCAAAGUCUUUGAACCGAGGGGUUUGUCAGUCUUCCUAUGAGGGGGGAUAAGAUCAAGACAGAUUUAAACAGGUUAGGGUUUAAGGGUUACUCACUCAGGGGUGAGAUUUUUCGAAGAGUUGAACAGGGUUACAAAUAGUAGACAUGGUUACAAAUACAAAAAACUAAGAGGGAGUACGAUGAACCAUACCAGCGCUUGGGGGAGUAUCAGUCUGGCAGGAGUAGUGGUUCGUCGGAGCAUAGAUUGGAGGGAAGGGAAACGGGACUUUCAGACCGGAGGGAAGGCAGGGACCGCUGGGUAUUUCUUGUGUAUCGAAAGAUCCAUUGGAUAUUGCCUUUUUUAGUUAGGUCUGGUAGGUGAGAUCCGGUUUUUUGAAAACUC